AUUGAACGCUGGCGGCAGGCUUAACACAUGCAAGUCGAGCGGAGAUGAGGUGCUUGCACCUUAUCUUAGCGGCGGACGGGUGAGUAAUGCUUAGGAAUCUGCCUAUUAGUGGGGGACAACAUUCCGAAAGGAAUGCUAAUACCGCAUACGUCCUACGGGAGAAAGCAGGGGAUCUUCGGACCUUGCGCUAAUAGAUGAGCCUAAGUCGGAUUAGCCAGUUGGUGGGGUAAAGGCCUACCAAGGCGACGAUCUGUAGCGGGUCUGAGAGGAUGAUCCGCCACACUGGGACUGAGACACGGCCCAGACUCCUACGGGAGGCAGCAGUGGGGAAUAUUGGACAAUGGGGGGAACCCUGAUCCAGCCAUGCCGCGUGUGUGAAGAAGGCCUUAUGGUUGUAAAGCACUUUAAGCGAGGAGGAGGCUACUGAGACUAAUACUCUUGGAUAGGGGACGUUACUCGCAGAAUAAGCACCGGCUAACUCUGUGCCAGCCGCCGCGGUAAAAC
rnacentral:rRNA from 1 species